rnacentral:rRNA from 1 species
CCUACGGGAGGCAGCAGUGAGGAAUAUUGGUCAAUGGGCUUACGCCUGAACCAGCCAAGUCGCGUGAGGGAAGACUGCCCUAUGGGUGGUAAACCUCUUUUGACAGGGAAGAGUAGAAGACGGUACCUGUCGAAUAAGCCACGGCUAAAUACGUGCCAGCAGCCGCGGUAAUACGUAGGUGGCAAGCGUUGUCCGGAUGUACUGGGUGUAAAGGGCGUGUAGCCGGGUUGACAAGUCAGAUGUGAAAGCCUGCGGCUUAACCGCAGAAAUGCAUUUGAAACUGUUGAUCUUGAGUACUGGAGAGGCAGACGGAAUUCCUAGUGUAGCGGUUAAAUGCGUAGAUAUUAGGAGGACCACCAGUGGCGAAGGCGGUCUGCUGGACAGCAACUGACGGUGAGGCGCGAAAGCGUGGGGAGCAAACAGGAUUAGAUACCCGAGUAGUC